rnacentral:rRNA from 1 species
UAGGGAAUCUUCCACAAUGGACGCAAGUCUGAUGGAGCAACGCCGCGUGAGUGAAGAAGGUUUUCGGACCGUAAAGCUCUGUUGUUGGUGAAGAAGGAUAGAGGUAGUAACUGGCCUUUAUUUGACGGUAAUCAACCAGAAAGUCACGGCUAACUACGUGCCAGCAGCCGCGGUAAUACGUAGGUGGCAAGCGUUGUCCGGAUUUAUUGGGCGUAAAGCGAGCGCAGGCGGAAGAAUAAGUCUGAUGUGAAAGCCCUCGGCUUAACCGAGGAAUUGCAUCGGAAACUGUUUUCUUGAGUGCAGAAGAGGAGAGUAGAACUCCAUGUGUAGCGGUGGAAUGCGUAGAUAUAUGGAAGAAUACCAGUGGCGAAGGCGGCUCUCUGGUCUGCAACUGACGCUGAGGCUCGAAAGCAUGGGUAGCGAACAGGAUUAGAUACCCUUGGUAGUCCAUGCCGUAAACGAUGAGUGCUAAGUGUUGGGAGGCUUCCGCCUCUCAGUGCUGCAGCUAACGCAUUAAGCACUCCGCCUGGGGGAGUACGACCGCAAGGUUGAAAC